CCUACGGGGGGCAGCAGUGGGGAAUAUUGCGCAAUGGGCGAAAGCCUGACGCAGCGACGCCGCGUGAGGGAUGAAGGUCUUCGGAUCGUAAACCUCUGUCAGCAGGGACGAACGGUCACUGUGCUAAUCAGCAGUGAAUUGACGGUACCUGCAAAGGAAGCACCGGCUAACUCCGUGCCAGCAGCCGCGGUAAUACGGAGGGUGCGAGCGUUAAUCGGAAUUACUGGGCGUAAAGCGCUCGUAGGCGGUAUGUCAAGUCAAGGGUGAAAUCCCCGGGCUUAACGUGGGAACUGCCUUUGAAACUGGCAAACUGGAGUGUGUGAGAGGAUAGUGGAAUUCCAGGUGUAGGAGUGAAAUGCGUAGAUAUGUGGAAGAACAUCAGUGGCGAAGGCGACUAUCUGGCACAUAACUGACGCUGAGGAGCGAAAGCGUGGGUAGCAAACAGGAUUAGAUACCCGGGUAGUC
rnacentral:rRNA from 1 species